rnacentral:sRNA from 12 species
CUAACCCUAUAUUAUGCGAAGUCUUAGGUUUUACCUGAGAGGUUUAUGUAGCAUAAAUGGGGAUUU